rnacentral:rRNA from 1 species
GAUGAACGCUAGCGGGAGGCCUAACACAUGCAAGCCGAGCGGUAUUGUUUCUUCGGAAAUGAGAGAGCGGCGUACGGGUGCGGAACACGUGUGCAACCUGCCUUUAUCUGGGGGAUAGCCUUUCGAAAGGAAGAUUAAUACUCCAUAAUAUAUUGAACGGCAUCGUUUAAUAUUGAAAGCUCCGGCGGAUAGAGAUGGGCACGCGCAAGAUUAGCUAGUUGGUGAGGUAACGGCUCACCAAGGCGAUGAUCUUUAGGGGGCCUGAGAGGGUGAUCCCCCACACUGGUACUGAGACACGGACCAGACUCCUACGGGAGGCAGCAGUGAGGAAUAUUGGUCAAUGGGUGCAAGCCUGAACCAGCCAUCCCGCGUGAAGGACGACUGCCCUAUGGGUUGUAAACUUCUUUUGUAUAGGGAUAAACCUACCCUCGUGAGGGUAGCUGAAGGUACUAUACGAAUAAGCACCGGCUAACUCCGUGCCAGCAGCCGCGGUAAUACGGAGGGUGCAAACGUUAUCCGGAUUUAUUGGGUUUAAAGGGUCCGUAGGCGGACUUAUAAGUCAGUGGUGAAAGCCUGUCGCUUAACGAUAGAACUGCCAUUGAUACUGUAAGUCUUGAGUAUAUUUGAGGUAGCUGGAAUAAGUAGUGUAGCGGUGAAAUGCAUAGAUAUUACUUAGAACACCAAUUGCGAAGGCAGGUUACCAAGAUAUAACUGACGCUGAGGGACGAAAGCGUGGGGAGCGAACAGGAUUAGAUACCCUGGUAGUCCACGCCGUAAACGAUGCUAACUCGUUUUUGGGCUUUAGGGUUCAGAGACCAAGCGAAAGUGAUAAGUUAGCCACCUGGGGAGUACGCUCGCGAGAGUGAAACUCAAAGGAAUUGACGGGGGCCCGCACAAGCGGUGGAUUAUGUGGUUUAAUUCGAUGAUACGCGAGGAACCUUACCAAGACUUAAAUGGGAAUUGACAGCUUUAGAAAUAGAGCUUUCUUCGGACAAUUUUCAAGGUGCUGCAUGGUUGUCGUCAGCUCGUGCCGUGAGGUGUUAGGUUAAGUCCUGCAACGAGCGCAACCCCUGUCACUAGUUGCCAUCAUUCAGUUGGGGACUCUAGUGAGACUGCCUACGCAAGUAGAGAGGAAGGUGGGGAUGACGUCAAAUCAUCACGGCCCUUACGUCUUGGGCCACACACGUAAUACAAUGGCCGGUACAGAGGGCAGCUACACAGCGAUGUGAUGCAAAUCUCGAAAGCCGGUCUCAGUUCGGAUUGGAGUCUGCAACUCGACUCUAUGAAGCUGGAAUCGCUAGUAAUCGCGCAUCAGCCAUGGCGCGGUGAAUACGUUCCCGGGCCU